UCAUCCCUGCGAUGUUUGUAUAUUAGGUCAUAAUGUAAAACCAACACUUAUUUUAAGGGAUUAAUUCUCCGGCGGCGGCGCACAUGCCUCACGUCUUAGGACGUCCAGUGGACUUGUAAAGUCUCCGGGUGCUUUCCCACCUGGCUUCCAGGUUUUUACUUUAGCCAAUCUACGGCACUUGCGGGGAUUAU
rnacentral:other from 1 species